UACGUAGGGUGCGAGCGUUAAUCGGAAUUACUGGGCGUAAAGCGUGCGCAGGCGGUUCGCUGUGUCGGUGGUGAAAGCCCCCGGGCUUAACCUGGGAAUGGCCAUGGAAACUGGCGAACUGGAGUGUGGCAGAGGGGGGUGGAAUUCCACGUGUAGCAGUGAAAUGCGUAGAGAUGUGGAGGAACACCGAUGGCGAAGGCAGCCCCCUGGGUCAACACUGACGCUCAUGCACGAAAGCGUGGGGAGCAAACAGG
rnacentral:rRNA from 1 species